rnacentral:rRNA from 1 species
UACAGAGGUCUCAAGCGUUGUUCGGAUUCAUUGGGCGUAAAGCGCACGUAGGCGGACUAUUAAGUCAGGGGUGAAAUCCCGGGGCUCAACCCCGGAACUGCCUUUGAUACUGGUAGUCUCGAGUCCGGAAGAGGUGAGUGGAAUUCCGAGUGUAGAGGUGAAAUUCGUAGAUAUUCGGAGGAACACCAGUGGCGAAGGCGGCUCACUGGUCCGGUACUGACGCUGAGGUGCGAAAGCGUGGGGGAGCAAACAGG